UUGUUUUAUUUUUUUCUGCCCAUCAAGUUUCCUUCGACCCUAGUUGUUUUUUUCCAAUUUAUUAAAGCAUGUGAGAAGCCUCUUGAAAGAAAAGUUCAAAGUGCUGCUGUUCUCUGUUUUUGUAGACGCUUAUAUAGAUAGAUACUGUCAGUGACCUACAAAAAUCUGCAAGAAAUGAUUUUUUUUCUCUCUCAUAGAAAUCAAAGCUUUUAUGUUCAUUUGGACUGUUUCUCUGUUUCUUUGAUCGUUUUCUUCUUGUAGUGAAAGUAAUUGAAACGUUGCAAGUUGUGAGAAUAGAUUCCAUUCUUUUAUGUUUAUGCUCCCUGGGCUAACCGCCUCAUAGUAACUAUUUUGUAGGUAUGGCCUUUGGGCUACAUUGUUUUUCCUUUUGAUGUUUCUUUGCUAGCAAAACCCCAUCCAAACAAUAAAAUGUAGCACUAGGACAUGCAAUGCAUUUUUUUGUUAGUUCAGUAAUUAAUACUUGAUUAUAGAUGUUAGAAGUGGCAAUUCUUGCCAUGCCGAUGAACACACAUGGGUGUCAAUAAGCAAGUCCAGCACGAUCUUUUCUUGUUGUCUUUUGAUUAUUGUAUGAUAUGAAUUAUUCACAAUGUUUUCAUAUUAGGUAUAUGAAAAAUCUUCAAAGCAUCCACUGUUUUUCAAUGGCAUCCUCAUUUUUUGCUGAACUUCACACGUUUAAUGGACGAGUAGUGCAUGUGUUUAUAAGAAGAAUAUUGUUUGCGAGUUUGUAAAUUUGGAUUGGCUUAGCUCUAGGAUGAGUGGUUGCAUUGCCAUGAAUAUUAUUGAAGAACAGAUCAUAGGUAGUUCAGUAUUUAGUCUUUUUUGCUGUCUUUAGACAUUGUUUCCUCUUAACUCUUACAAGUGUUUGAUUUAAUGAAAAGCUAGUGUUUCAGUAUUCACUUAGGUUCCAUGUUUUUGGUAUUGGACAGCUAUUGAUGGGUUUCCGCAAUUGUAGAUCUGAUGUUCAACAAUAUAUAAACUAUUUGAACUUCAUAACUAAUUUGAUUCAACCGCAGAAUGCAGGGACUCCUUCAUUCUCCAUAGGAAUCACUGAAAUUCUUAACACAAACCCUCUGAUAGAACUAACCACUGAUGACAUUGGAUACGUCUACCAAAGGAGCCCAGGAAAACUGUUAAGUGUCACUAUUCCGACAUUUGAAACCCUUACUCAAUUUGGCGUUGCCACUGUCUCUGCUAAGAAUAUUGGUUAAGUGGAAGCAUCAUAUAGCUUAACGUUUGACUGCUCAAAAGGUGUUGCGGUCAUGGAGGUAACAUUAACUACCAUAUAGAUUCUAAUUCCUAACCAUUCGUGAAGGAUACAAUCCAAUUUCAAUGUUUCAAUGGUUGCAAGAACAAUUCUUCAUUUUGAAGCUGAGCGAGGUUACAAUUCGGUCAUUUAAAAUUUACCCAGCAACUGAUAAAGCUGCAAGAUAUGUAUGUGCUGCUAUACUGAAGGACUCUAGUUUUAAUGAAACUGAUCCAGCAGAAUGCCAAUUGUUUACUACUGCCACCAUCCUUGAAAAUGGAGCACGGGUUUGGGGGCAGUUACAGAAUUGUUUUAUCAAGUAUAGUCACUAAAAACUUUACCCAGCAACUGGUCAAUUUUCUACUCAAGCAAGCAAGAUUUCUAUGAACAAUUUCUUAUGCGGAGCAAAAGGAUUUGGAACUGAUUGUAGCAAAAUAAGAAAAGAAAAAAGAAAAUUUGUAUGUCGUAUGCGAGACUAUGCGUAGGUUCAGUAGUCCAUUUGUGUUUCCUAUGGUGUGGCUGAAAGCUUGUAGAUGAUUGUUUUGCCAUUCAGUGGCUUACAAUUUAUG